rfam:Beta vulgaris subsp. vulgaris chromosome 7, whole genome shotgun sequence.
UGUUAGGUUCUCUCAGGAGUAGCUACGAAACUCCGGUGAACGGCAACCAUAACUAUAACGGGCCUAAGGUAGUGAAAUUCCUUGUCGGGUAAGUUCCGACCGCACAAAA